AAGGAUCAUUAUUGAUUGUGAAUGGUUGCCUUCAGUGCUGGCUCCGGCAAGUGCACGCUGGUGACUUCAAUCCAAUACCCUUGUGAACCAUUGGCCUCUUGCUUGCUUCGGCUGGUAGAGGAUAUUUACACCAACUCGAAUGUAAUGAAAUUAUUGUUGUGCGCAAGCACUAAUGUACAACUUUCAACAACGGAUCUCUUGGCUCUCGCAUCGAUGAAGAACGCAGCGUAGCCAGCUGCAUCGAUGUGGAAGUAAAAGUCGUAACAAG
rnacentral:misc_RNA from 1 species